AGGCCGGUCUCUUACCCCAGAUUCCCAGAAAACAGCGGAGGCCGCCGCCGCCCCGCCCGGGGGAGGGGAGGUCUCAGCCAAAUUCAACCAAGGGCCGGCUGGAGAGGGGCAAGAGAGGCGCCGUAAAAGAUGUGCUGUGGCUUCUCCAAGGCCCCACAGACUGCUGGGAUCACCGGCCCCCACUUCCCCAUCCACAAAAUGAACUUUUCAAAACUCCAAAGAGGUGAGUGGGGGGGAGGGAGUGGAGGCAGCCGCAGGCCCAGGGAGGCUGGGGCUCAAAUAGACCGGCGUUCCCCCACCUCUUUCCUUGGGCUGGGGAAACCCCCUGAAAGGAAAGAGGGGCUCCGAUUUCCCUAGGAGUGAACCCAGACUAACCUCCACUGCUCUGGGGACUGGGGGAAGAGCCAGGGAGGCUGAUAAAGUCCUAAUGAAGUGGGAGGAAGAAGUCCAGAAAGGAAAAUGUCCUUUUUCUCCUUUCCCCAAGCAAAUCUGAGGCGUUGCCCCAGGACUAAUGGGCCUCUUUCUGCUUCUCAGUCCCAUUCGUUCCUGUUCUCUAGUCAAGCCCUACCUCCAGUGGAGGCACACUGACUUCUCCUUGGCCCCGGGAGGUAGAGGGACCUUUCAGAGAUCCUUAACCUGGAGUUUGGGACCUUAAAAAAACCAAACAUUUCCCCACUCCUCUGGUUUCCACGGUAUUCCUCUGUGUGUCCACUUCAACAAUCCUGAGGACUCCAGAGGCUUCUCUUCUAGGCCCUCCAAUUGUUUCAUGGGCAGGGGAGUCUCAGGAGGGAGGGGCAGAAUUUGGAACUCAAAAAAACGUGCGAAGUGAACGUUAAAAUAAAUUUUAAAUUCUAAAGCAAA